GAGAAUCUUCGGCAAUGGGCGCCAGCCUGACCGAGCGACGCCGCGUGGAGGAUGAAGGCCUUCGGGUUGUAAACUCCUGUCGAGGGGGAGGAAGCCGCAAGGUUGACCGAUCCCUGGAGGAAGCACGGGCUAAGUUCGUGCCAGCAGCCGCGGUAAGACGAACCGUGCGAACGUUAUUCGGAAUUACUGGGCUUAAAGCGCGUGUAGGCGGAUCGGCACGUCCGAUGUUGAAAUCCCCCGGCUCAACCGGGGAAGUGGCUCGGAUACGACCGGUCUGGAGGGAGGUAGGGGGGUCUGGAACUUCCGGUGGAGCGGUGAAAUGCGUUGAGAUCGGAAGGAACGCCCGUGGCGAAAGCGAGGCCCUGGACCUUUUCUGACGCUGAGACGCGAAAGCCAGGGGAGCGAAC
rnacentral:rRNA from 1 species